rnacentral:sRNA from 1 species
CAUGAAGCAUUCCAUAUUUUUAUUUCAUUUGUUUUAUACCGGUAAUUAUAAUGUUAUCUUGGAGGCUAGGAAAGCUGACCAAUAG